rnacentral:rRNA from 1 species
CAGUCGCCGCGGGAAUACGGAGGGAGCUAGCGUUAUUCGGAAUUACUGGGCGUAAAGCGCACGUAGGCGGCUUUGUAAGUUAGAGGUGAAAGCCUGGAGCUCAACUCCAGAAUUGCCUUUAAGACUGCAUCGCUUGGAUCCAGGAGAGGUGAGUGGAAUUCCGAGUGUAGAGGUGAAAUUCGUAGAUAUUGGGAAGAACACCGGUGGCGAAGGCGGCUCACUGGACCGACACUGACGCUGAGGCGCGAAAGCGUGGGGAGCAAACAGGAUUAGAUACCCCAGUAGUCCCUGUCUCUUAUAC